AACGAACGCUGGCGGCAUGCCUAACACAUGCAAGUCGAACGAGAUCUUCGGGUCUAGUGGCGCACGGGUGCGUAACGCGUGGGAAUCUGCCCUUUGGUUCGGAAUAACAGUUGGAAACGACUGCUAAUACCGGAUGAUGACGAAAGUCCAAAGAUUUACUCGCCAGAGGAUGAGCCCGCGUAGGAUUAGCUAGUUGGUGGGGUAAAGGCCCACCAAGGCGACGAUCCUUAGCUGGGCUGAGAGGAUGAUCAGCCACACUGGGACUGAGACACGGCCCAGACUCCUACGGGAGGCAGCAGUGGGGAAUAUUGGACAAUGGGCGAAAGCCUGAUCCAGCAAUGCCGCGUGAGUGAUGAAGGCCUUAGGGUUGUAAAGCUCUUUUACCCGGGAUGAUAAUGACAGUACCGGGAGAAUAAGCUCCGGCUAACUCCGUGCCAGCCGCCGCCGUAA
rnacentral:rRNA from 1 species